rnacentral:rRNA from 1 species
AAAUGGUGGGUAAUACUGUAUAAUCCCCGAGGGGGAAAGAUUUAUCGCUAUUAGAUGAGCCUACGUUAGAUUAGCUAGUUGGUGAGGUAAUGGCUUACCAAGGCUAUGAUCUAUAGCUGGUCUGAGAGGACGAUCAGCCACACUGGAACUGAGAUACGGUCCAGACUCCUACGGGAGGCAGCAGUGGGGAAUAUUGGACAAUGGGCGAAAGCCUGAUCCAGCUAUGCCG